rnacentral:rRNA from 1 species
AAUAGACUACCCGGGUAGUCCACGCCGUAAACGGUGGGCACUAGGUGUGGGCGACAUUCCACGUCGUCCGUGCCGCAGCUAACGCAUUAAGUGCCCCGCCUGGGGAGUACGGCCGCAAGGCUAAAACUCAAAGGAAUUGACGGGGGCCCGCACAAGCGGCGGAGCAUGUGGCUUAAUUCGACGCAACGCGAAGAACCUUACCAAGGCUUGACAUACACCGGAAAACCCUGGAGACAGGGUCCCCCUUGUGGUCGGUGUACAGGUGGUGCAUGACUGUCGUCAGCUCGUGUCGUGAGAUGUUGGGUUAAGUCCCGCAACGAGCGCAACCCUUGUCCCGUAUUGCCAGCAGGCCCUUGUGGUGCUGGGGACUCACGGGAGACCGCCGGGGUCAACUCGGAGGAAGGUGGGGACGACGUCAAGUCAUCAUGCCCCUUAUGUCUUGGGCUGCACACGUGCUACAAUGGCCGGUACAAUGAGCUGCGAUACCGCGAGGUGGAGCGAAUCUCAAAAAGCCGGUCUCAGUUCGGAUUGGGGUCUGCAACUCGACCCC